UACGUGCCAGCAGCCGCGGUAAUACGUAUGGGGCAAGCGUUGUCCGGAUUUACUGGGCGUAAAGGGCGCGUAGGCGGUUUGUUAAGUCGAAGGUGAAAUCCUCGGGCUCAACUCGAGAAUUGCCUUCGAUACUGGCAAACUAGAGUGGCGGAGAGGAAAGCGGAACUCUUGGUGUAACGGUGGAAUGUGUAGAUAUCAAGAGGAACACCGGUGGCGAAGGCGGCUUUCUGGACGCACACUGACGCUCAGGCGCGAAAGCGUGGGUAGCAAACAGGAUUAGAUACCCUGGUAGUCCACGCCAUAAACGAUGGGUACUAGGUGUCGGGGGUAUCGACCCCUCCGGUGCCGCAGUUAACGCACUAAGUACCCCGCCUGGGGAUUAUGGUCGCAAGGCUGAAACUCAAAGGAAUUGACGGGGCCCCGCACAAGCGGUGGAGCAUGUGGUUUAAUUCGACGCAACGCGAAGAACCUUACCUGGGCUUGACAUGCUUGGGACAGCGCUGGAAACAGCGUCUCUCCUUCGGGAGCCCUUGCACAGGUGCUGCAUGGCUGUCGUCAGCUCGUGUCGUGAGAUGUUGGGUUAAGUCCCGCAACGAGCGCAACCCUCGUUACUAGUUGCCAUCAGUUCGGCUGGGCACUCUAGUGAGACUGCCGGUGAUAAACCGGAGGAAGGUGAGGAUGAUGUCAAGUCAUCAUGGCCCUUACGCCCAGGGCUACACACGUGCUACAAUGGUCGGCACAAAGGGUCGCUAAGCCGCGAGGUGGAGCUAAUCCCAAAAAGCCGGCCUCAGUUCGGAUUGGAGUCUGCAACCCGACUCCAUGAAGGCGGAAUCGCUAGUA
rnacentral:rRNA from 1 species